AGUGAACGCUGGCGGUAGGCCUAACACAUGCAAGUCGAACGGCAGCACAGUAAGAGCUCGCUCUUACGGGUGGCGAGUGGCGGACGGGUGAGGAAUACAUCGGAAUCUACUUUUUCGUGGGGGAUAACGUAGGGAAACUUACGCUAAUACCGCAUACGACCUACGGGUGAAAGCAGGGGAUCUUCGGACCUUGCGCGAUUGAAUGAGCCGAUGUCGGAUUAGCUAGUUGGCGGGGUAAAGGCCCACCAAGGCGACGAUCCGCAGCUGGUCUGAGAGGAUGAUCAGCCACACUGGAACUGAGACACGGUCCAGACUCCUACGGGAGGCAGCAGUGGGGAAUAUUGGACAAUGGGCGCAAGCCUGAUCCAGCCAUACCGCGUGGGUGAAGAAGGCCUUCGGGUUGUAAAGCCCUUUUGUUGGGAAAGAAAAGCAGCAGGUUAAUACCCCGCUGUUCUGACGGUACCCAAAGAAUAAGCACCGGCUAACUUCGUG
rnacentral:rRNA from 1 species